GUCCACGCCCUAAACGAUGUCGACUGGUUGUUGGGGUUUGACACUCUCAGUAACGAAGCUAACGCGUGAAGUCGACCGCCUGGGGAGUACGGCCGCAAGGUUAAACUCAAAGGAAUUGACGGGGUCCGCACAAGCGGUGGAACAUGUGGUUUAAUUCGACACUACGCGAGAAACCUUACCCAGGCUUGACAUGUAACUGCUAUCGGGUGAAAGCUCGAGUUCCAAGUUUACUUGGACGGUUACACAGGUGCUGCAUGGCUGUCGU
rnacentral:rRNA from 1 species